rnacentral:lncRNA from 1 species
UUACAACCUUAAUUACUACUAUUGACCUCUAUUAUAGUAAAAUUAAAAGAGAAUAUGGUUAAUUUAGUUUUUUUUCUUUUUUUUUCAUCUCGAGACUGAGGACGGCCCUCAUUCUGACAUUCUCUAUCUUCUUUCUUUUCCUCUGUUUCUUCCUUCUUCCUUCUUGGUUGAAAUUCCAGCGUAUCGGAGUCAUGGUGGCCUGACCAUCGCUCGGCUAUCACUCCUCCACUGCAAUUCUCUCCAUCUUCUGUUUCUCUUGUGUUUGAAUUUACAGAAAUUUAAGCGAAGAAACCCCAAAACCCCUAAAUCAGAAUUCCCAAACCCUAAAAUUUUCAGUCUCUCUUACCACCCCAAAUUCUCACCACCUCGACCAUUCGUGCAUGUCGUCAUCGGCUACUGGGAUGGGUAUCACAACAUGUACAAGGAGAACCGUGACAUCACUCUGAAUGGGGCUGUUUAUACGGUGACAGGACCCGCCCCGAAUUACACCCUGAAAUCCGAGGUGGCCCUGUGGGGCCCACCUUAGGG